rnacentral:rRNA from 1 species
GAUCCUGGCUCAGAAUCAACGCUGGCGGCGUGCCUAACACAUGCAAGUCGAACGAGAAAAGGUUGGUCCCGCGCAAGCGGGAUCGGCCUGAGUAAAGUGGCGAACGGGUGAGUAACACGUAGCUAACCUGCCCUCGAGUGGGGGAUAACCUGGGGAAACUCGGGCUAAUACCCCAUAACCUCUCGGUUGCACAAGUAGCCGAGAGCAAAGGCCCACAAGGGCCACUGGAGGAGGGGGCUGCGGCCGAUUAGCUAGUUGGUGAGGUAACGGCUCACCAAGGCGAUGAUCGGUAGCCGGCCUGAGAGGGCGCACGGCCACACUGGCACUGAAACACGGGCCAGACUCCUACGGGAGGCAGCAGUGGGGAAUUUUGCACAAUGCCCGCAAGGGUGAUGCAGCAACGCCGCGUGGGGGAUGAAGGCUUUCGGGUCGUAAACCCCUUUCGACUGGGAAAAACGGGCGCGCGAAGAGCGCGUCCUGAUGGUACCGGUGGAAGAAGCCCCGGCUAACUACGUGCCAGCAGCCGCGGUAAUACGUAGGGGGCGAGCGUUGUUCGGAAUUACUGGGCGUAAAGGGCGUGUAGGCGGUUUUCUAAGUUUGGUGUGAAAUCUCCCGGCUUAACUGGGAGGGUGCGCCGAAGACUGGAAGGCUUGAGUAUGGGAGAGGUAAGCGGAAUUCCUGGUGUAGCGGUGAAAUGCGUAGAUAUCAGGAGGAACACCUGCGGUGUAGACGGCUUACUGGACCAUAACUGACGCUGAGGCACGAAAGCGUGGGUAGCAAACAG